CACGUAGGGGGCGAGCGUUGUCCGGAUUUAUUGGGCGUAAAGAGCUCGUAGGCGGUUCCGUCAGUCGGGUGUGAAAACUCGAGGCUCAACCUCGAGCGUGCACCCGAUACUGCCGGGCUUGAGGCAGGUAGGGGAGAUCGGAAUUCCUGGUGUAGCGGUGAAAUGCGCAGAUAUCAGGAGGAACACCGGUGGCGAAGGCGGGUCUCUGGGCCGAUACUGACGCUGAGGAGCGAAAGCGUGGGGAGCGAACAGG
rnacentral:rRNA from 1 species